rnacentral:misc_RNA from 1 species
UAGAAUAAACCUGGUGGAUUGUUGCUGGCUCUCUCGGGAGCAUGUGCACAUCUGUCAUCUUUAUAUCUCCACCUGUGCACCUUUUGUAGACCUGGAAACAACUUGAUUCUGAGGAGACUCAGUUGUGAGGAUCUGUAGGCCUCGUUGCGAAGUCAGCUUUCCUUGAUUGUCCAGGCCUAUGUAUUUUUUUUUUUAUACACACCAAAAAUUGUAUUAGAAUGU